GGCUGGUCCGAUGGCAGUGGUUUACCAGAACUUAUUGAUAUUAGUUUCACAACAAGUUAAUAUAUUCCACCCCCACUGCUAAAUUUGACUGGCCUUU
rnacentral:Y_RNA from 15 species